rnacentral:rRNA from 1 species
AAAGUGAAGGUCAGGCAUCGCACUGACUGAGGCAGGAUCCGUCCGGGUGAGCGAAGCUCUUCUUCCCUUCGCGGGUUCGUCCCGCGGGGGAGCUCGGCGGCGCACUGCCAGCCCAUCUCGGCCGCUUCCCGUCGGCGAGGUGGAGCCAGAGCGCACACGUUGGGACCCGAAAGAUGGUGAACUAUGCUCGGGCAGGACGAAGCCAGAGGAAACUCUGGUGGAGGUCCGUAGCGAUUCUGACGUGCAAAUCGAUCGUCGGACCCGAGUAUAGGGGCGAAAGACUAAUCGAACCGUCUAGUAGCUG